rnacentral:rRNA from 1 species
AGUGAACGCUGGCGGUAGGCCUAACACAUGCAAGUCGAACGGCAGCACAGUAAGAGCUUGCUCUUACGGGUGGCGAGUGGCGGACGGGUGAGGAAUACAUCGGAAUCUACUUUUUCGUGGGGGAUAACGUAGGGAAACUUACGCUAAUACCGCAUACGACCUACGGGUGAAAGCAGGGGAUCUUCGGACCUUGCGCGAUUGAAUGAGCCGAUGUCGGAUUAGCUAGUUGGCGGGGUAAAGGCCCACCAAGGCGACGAUCCGUAGCUGGUCUGAGAGGAUGAUCAGCCACACUGGAACUGAGACACGGUCCAGACUCCUACGGGAGGCAGCAGUGGGGAAUAUUGGACAAUGGGCGCAAGCCUGAUCCAGCCAUACCGCGUGGGUGAAGAAGGCCUUCGGGUUGUAAAACCCUUUUAUUGGGAAAGAAAAGCAGCAGAUGAAUACCCCGCUGUUCUGACGGUACCCAAAGAAUAAGCACCGGCUAACUUCGUG